rnacentral:rRNA from 1 species
UACAGGGGGGGCAAGCGUUGUUCGGAAUUACUGGGCGUAAAGGGUUUGUAGGUGGCUUGUUAAGUCAGACGUGAAAUCCCUCAGCUUAACUGGGGAACUGCGUCUGAGACUGGCGAGCUUGAGGGCAGGAGAGGAACGCGGAAUUCCAGGUGUAGCGGUGAAAUGCGUAGAUAUCUGGAGGAACACCGGUGGCGAAGGCGGCGUUCUGGACUGCAUCUGACACUGAAAGACGAAAGCCAGGGGAGCAAACGGG